rnacentral:tRNA from 1 species
AAAUAAGUAAGCUAAAUAAAGCUUUUAGGUUCAUACCCUAACUAUAGAUUAAUUUAAUCUCUUAUUUA